rnacentral:rRNA from 1 species
CCUACGGGUGGCAGCAGUGAGGAAUAUUGCACAAUGGGCGAAAGCCUGAUGCAGCAACGCCGCGUGAAGGAAGAAGGCUUUCGGGUUGUAAACUUCUUUUAAGGGGGAAGAGCAGAAGACGGUACCCCUUGAAUUAGCCACGGCUAACUACGUGCCAUCAGCCGCGGUCAUACGUAGGUGGCAAGCGUUGUCCGGAUUUACUGGGUGUAAAGGGCGUGCAGCCGGGAAGACAAGUCCGAUGUGAAAUCCCGCGGCUCAACCGCGGAACUGCAGUUGAAACUGUUGGGCUGGAGUAUCGGAGAGGUAAUCGGAAUUCCUAGUGUAGCGGUGAAAUGCGUAGAUAUUAGGAAGAACACCAGUGGCGAAGGCAGAUUACUGGACGACAACUGACGGUGAGGCGCGAAAGCGUGGGGAGCGAACAGGAUUAGAUACCCCAGUAGUC